UACGUAGGGUGCGAGCGUUGUCCGGAAUUAUUGGGCGUAAAGAGCUCGUAGGCGGUGUGUCACGUCGGCCGUGAAAACCUGCAGCUUAACUGUGGGCUUGCGGUCGAUACGGGCAUCACUGGAGUUCGGCAGGGGAGACUGGAAUUCCCGGUGUAGCGGUGAAAUGCGCAGAUAUCGGGAGGAACACCAACGGCGAAGGCAGCACUCUGGGCUGGAACUGACGCUCAGGCACGAAAGCGUGGGGAUCAAACAGG
rnacentral:rRNA from 1 species